rnacentral:lncRNA from 1 species
CCUGUUUGACCCCCUCCCCAGAUUCUGUCCAGGAAACUUCAUGUUCGGUAGAAAUUGUUAUAAAAUUCAACUGGAAGUUUUCCUCUCCCUCUGGUUUUUCCUCAAUUCCACUGGCAGCCCUCCCCAAGUUGCAAGAUAAAGACAGAAAAGGCUUCCCUGAGGACUGAGAGUGCCCACAGGGCUCUUGCUGCUGCUUUCUCUACCCCUAUAUUUUGUGCGGCUCUCAGCAUUUGUCUCAGCUCCACACCAAGGGGACUCUGCAUGGGCACAUCCCGGCCCUCCUCCCUGCAUGUUCUCCAAGCCAGGUCUUUGAAACCUCCAGUGAUGGGAAUGACAGAAUCUGGGAUGAUUUUCUUCUGUUUCUUAUCUAAAAAAACAACAAAAAGCUCAGCAUACACGGACUCACACAAACCUUUUGCUAGAGGCAGCUCUGUAGACUUAAGACGCUGUCAUUUUUCAGAAGAACCCAGCUUGCUUUGGAACUACAGUCAGCCCUGCAACCCACCCUCACCUUGGACCCUGCUGCUGCUGUCUGUAAAGGGUCUGGAUGAAGGAAGGGAGCCUCCAGCUUGUCGGCUGUACUUGCCCAGAAUUUAGCCUUUGCAACAUGGAGCUGCGGGGAUGGGAAAGACAAUGCUGCGAUGAAUACACCUGUGCAUUCUUUUUUAGAACAAGUGUAAGAAUUCCUAUGUGGUAAGUCUGUUUAAAGAGAAUUUCAGAUUCACGUGUAGAUGUGUUAAGUUUGAGCGAUGUUGCCAAACUCUCUUGAACUUAUACCCUCUGUAAUAAUAUAUUGGGAUAUUUGUUUCCUUUUGUUCUUGUCAGUUUUCAUACUAUAAAACUUAAACAUGUUUGACA